AUUGAACGCUGGCGGCAUGCCUUACACAUGCAAGUCGAACGGUAACGGGCCUUCGGGUGCCGACGAGUGGCGAACGGGUGAGUAAUACAUCGGAACGUGCCCGAUCGUGGGGGAUAACGAGGCGAAAGCUUUGCUAAUACCGCAUACGAUCUACGGAUGAAAGCAGGGGACCGCAAGGCCUUGCGCGGACGGAGCGGCCGAUGGCAGAUUAGGUAGUUGGUGGGAUAAAAGCUUACCAAGCCGACGAUCUGUAGCUGGUCUGAGAGGAUGAUCAGCCACACUGGGAGUGAGACACGGCCCAGACUCCUACGGGAGGCAGCAGUGGGGAAUUUUGGACAAUGGGCGCAAGCCUGAUCCAGCCAUGCCGCGUGCAGGAUGAAGGCCUUCGGGUUGUAAACUGCUUUUGUACGGAACGAAAAGCCUUCUUUUAAUACAGGAGGGUCAUGACGGUACCGUAAGAAUAAGCACCGGCUAACUACGUG
rnacentral:rRNA from 1 species